CUCCUGCAGGGAACUUGGCACCGCAGCCCUGUCCCAUCAGAAAAAAACCCAAUGUGGGCACCGCUGUGGGCUCGCUGGAGUUGGACACUGACUUACAUUACAUGAGAUACACAUUUAAUUGGAGCAUAGUUUGCGGUCUCAACAUUUGGACAACUCUGGUUUGUCAGGCGCCCGAAGACUGGCAUCAGGAGUGGAUAUUUUCCCAGUGACUACAGGGACUCAUGCUCUGAAAUAAAUGACUUACUUGAUUCCAAGUGACAGAUCCACUUCUUUGCUUUGGCAGGCGCAGGAGUCACUUUGUUCGGCGGCGGCGAUGGUCGACUCGUUAAAGCGGCCAGUGGGAACAGUAAAUUCCGUUUUAACUCGGGUUCUGCGAAACAGAAUAACGCAGCUUUUUCGGUUAUGGACCCCGAUGACAUUGAAGACGUGUUUUUCGAGGAUGUUCAUCUUUUUGAGGUCGUGGUUAGUGUCAGCAGAAACCGUCGGUUUACUGGGUCACACAUUGACAUCCUCUGGCAGAGCUCACUAAACCAAUGUAGCUGGAACUCACUCAAAGCGGUAAAGCAGUAGUCCAGCGCCAGAAGCCAUCGAAACAGCGUUUGGUGCGCAUGAGCCACAUGGACUUUUCCAAAAGUCUCAAUCCAAAUAUUCUCUGCAUGCCACGCUGCUUUGAGUGUUGACUUCCCCAUUUUCCUCGGACACACGCUAUUUUCCUGGCUUGAUCUCCUUUACUUAUUCCUCCGUUGUGCUAUCCAGGGACUGAUGGAACUGCACAUAGCUGCAGAAAAUAAAUCCAUCAAUGCAUUUGUAGGGACAAAAAAUGUGAUUCCAAAGUUUUAUUUAGCCAAAGUUUUCUCCGGGAUUUAAAGUGUGACACAUCAAGUGAAGUAAUGAAUCCCAACAAGUAGUUACUCGGUUAUCUUUACAUCAACCUCCAUCUAAUGUCAGUGUAUUACCCGGACCUUUAGUAGGGACUUAAUCAUUUAAACUACCUCUUAAUACCACCACUAUCAAGUCAUAAU